AGUGAGGAAAAAUAGACAUAGGUGUUGCUCUUCUGAACUUAAGUUCUAGAGUUAGAGAAAAAUAUUAGUCAGAUAUUAAUAUGUAUAAAUGCAAAGUUGGAACUGUUUUCAUUUGCUGUAGAGAAGUACAUGGUUUUUAAUAUGAGGGCUUUUGGAAGGAUAAUUUAAUCAAUUAGUGGGACCACACCAAGGGAAGGGUUUGUUUUUUGUUUGAGAAAGUGUUUAGUUAGCUGAAAUCUUGAUGAAUUUGAGUUACGUUGAUCAAGAGGGAGAAAAAAGUUGGUGGAAGAAAGGAGGAUCUAUGUACAAGAUCCUCAUGUGGGAAGAUUUUAGUACCUAACAUUAAAUGAAAGUCAGAAUGACAGAAGCCAAGGACUAGAGAGUGCAUGGAAAGAGGUUAUGCUAAGGAUUAUGUCGGAGCCAAAUUGCAGGAUAUUGUGGGCCAAGGUUUUUUAUCCUUAGAGUUAUUAUUUAAAUUUAAACUAAUAUUCUUUACACUCUACAAAGACUUACUACUGCAGUUGACCCUUGAGCAGCUUGGGAGUUAGUGAUGCCACUCCUACAAGCAGUCAAAAACCCAAGGAUAAUUUAUAGUUGGCCUUAUUAUCUGAGGUUCCUCUGUGUGGGAAGAUUCAACCAAUUGCAGAUCCCAUAAUACUGUAGUAUUUAUUAUUGGGGAAAAAAAAUCUGGAUUUUUUGGAUACACAUAGUUCAGACUCCUGUUGUUCAAGAGUCAGCUGUACUUGCUCCGGUGGUUGUAUUCUAAGAGUUCAUUUUUCUUUCAGUUUAAGACUUACAGUGCUUUUCCUAUGGAAUCAUUGUUGUAGAGAUCAAGUCUCCUAAAACAUUUUUAACACAGUUAACAGUGGAAGGUAGUGAAUAUUAACAUUGAGCCCUUAAGAAAACUAGGUGGAAGAUAGAAAAGAAAAACAAAAAAGGGGAUUAAAAUUGGUAUCUCUACAUACUCAAGAGAAUGUCCUGAGUGUGACUGACUGAGUUUGAAUAAUAAGGAAAAAAGUCUGCAAGUGUAGGAGGCUAGUGUAGGAGAUCCUAGCAAAUGAUUAUCAUAUUCAGUUGGACAGCUUAAGACCCUCACUUGGUACCUGUAUGAAGCAGUGUGAUAUCCGAAGCAUACCAAGGCAGGGAAAGUAGAAGACAUCAUAUUCACAAAUUCAAUGUUCCAAAUCUAGGAAAUAUUUGUGUCAAUGUUAUUAAAACAUAAAAUUAAAAAAUAUAUUUUAAGUAGAAUUGCAAAAUGGUAAUACAAUGCCAACUGUGUUUUGGUUUUUUUAGAGUAAAAAAGUAAGAAGUUAGAAGAAUUAUAUUUUACUAAUGCUCAUAUUUAUUUGUUUGUUUUUUGGUUUAUUUUUAGCCACACCCAUGGCAUCUGGAAGUUCAUGGCCAGGGAUCAAAUCUAAGCCUCAGCUGAGGCCUACAUCACAAGCUGUGGCAAUGCCAGAUCCUUAACCCUCUGUGCUGGGCCAGGGAUUGAACUCAUGCUACCACAGAGAUGAGAUGGCAUCCUUAACCUGCUGUGGCACAGCAGGAACUCCUGAAGUAGUACUUUUAAAGACAAAGUUGAAGGAAUUUAAUUUUUAAUCUUAUUUUCCAUUUAACUUAGAACAUCGUCAAUAAGAUAGUUUCAUUUCUUGUUGAUAUUUAAAUUUUAAGCCUCUUUGAACACCAGCUUACAUCUAUAUUAGUAAAUAAUCUAGUUAAUAAAGUUUAUUAAGAAUAUUAUAAAAAGAUGGAUCAGUUACUUGAAUUUUAUCAAGACCAAAAUGUCACAAAAAAAAAAAUGUGUUAAAUUGUAAGGAAAAGGUAAAAUAUAUGCAAGCAUUCACUGAAUAGUCAUCACAAUACUGUUGGUUGAGGAAUUCUGCCAGUACAUCAUCCUUUAUCAGGUGAUCUUGAACUUUAACUUUCUGGCAUUCUCAAGUAUGGCUUUUAAAGCAGAUUAACAUCUAAAAUUAAGAACUGCAGAAUUGACUUUAGUGGUUAUUUACUCAUGUAUUUGCACUUUUACUUACAAAACAUUCUAAAUUAGAAAGUAUCACUACCAUUUAUUUAUUUAUUUUUGCAGUGUCUAGCAGACUACUGGUAUUCAGAGACCAUAAAUAUUUGGGAAGCUUAUUGGGGUUUGAAAACACAGUUUACUAAAUUUAUCUGAUAUCUCUAAGGGUCAUCGUACCUUUUAAACAGAAAUGAAGAAUCACUUGGAAAUUAUUCAGGGAUUGAUGUGUUCCCUCUGUUUUACAGGUUUCUACUUGUCUAUCAAAGUAUAUUCCAAAAAUCCCUAGUUCUGUGAUAAUAGGUAUGGCCAUCCUCACCUAUCUCCCAUGAGAUUUCUUCAUUGACGUUUUGAAAACUUGAUUAAAGAAUACUGAACAGGAUUUUUUUUACCAUAAUAGCAAUCACUAACAUUUAUUGAAUGCUUACUUUGUGCCAGUCACUAUGCUAAGAGUUUUACAUACAUUAUCUUAUUUAAUCUUAACAACCAGAAAAAACACUUGGAAGAAUAUUCAAGAAGUAUUUCCUUGUAUUACUUCACAGCUUAUAAGCACCAGUGCAAGAACUUCUGUUAAGAAUAUAAUAGUGAGAAAAAUACCAUUUUCUGUUCUUAAAAAUCCUGUGGCUUUGGGAAAGAAGAUUAUGAAAUUUAUCCUUAAAAUUAAACAUUGAACUUAAUAAUGUUUUCUAUGCUCUUCUAACCAUAGUAUUCACAGAUAAUCAGUGAAAACCAUUAUAUUCUUUUAUGACUAGGAAACAACCUUUAAGGCUUCAGAGAGAUGCCUGGGUUUGAACACAGGUUCUAUAGUGUUCAAACACAGGCCACUAUAGUGUUCAACUUUGGUGAGCUGUUAAGGUUCUGAAAUUGAGUUUCUCUGUAAAAUUAGUAUAGUGGUACAUUUCUCACAGAGUUAGUUGUGACUAUUAAGUGAUAGAGUACCAAGCGUAUAUGAAGUCCUAGCAUAUAGUGUACAUUCACUGAAACUUGGUUUUCUUUCUUUUUCCUUCUCUUCUUUUUCUGUUAGUAAUAACCAUGUUUUAGAAUCUUCAUGAAAUUAUAUACACAUUAAAUUUUUAAAUUGUUUUCCUUUUAAAAAGUAAUCUAUUUCUCCUAAAAUUAUUUUAAAACUUUCCUUAAAUUCUGAUUUGAGGGCUUGAUUUACUCCAUCUUUUUGCUUUUCUGCAUUUUGCUAAUGAAAUGGGCACUUGUAAAUGUUGUUGAACUCAGAUAUAAAUUUAAGUAGCCACACUUCAUUAAUGUAAACACUCUACUGAAAGCUUACAGCUAUGCUUUUGGUUCUUAUUAAGUGAAAGAAUAUUAAAUAGAGUUCCUUUUUUUGUCUUUAUUUCCCCACACUAAACAGGCGAUAGUGCAAAGAAGUUAAGUGCCUGGACUCUAGGGCAAAUCUGUUUGGAAUCAAAUCCCUACUUUACCACUUAACUAUGUGACACCUGCAUCUCAAUUUACACAUUAGUAAAAUGGGUGUAAUAAUUGUGCCCACCUUAGGGCAUAUAUCUAUAUCUAUCUAUAUAUAACUGUUAAAAAUGCCUUGCACAUACUGAGUGCCGUAACAGUGUUAACUGUUAAUAGUGAUUAUAUGUAUUAUCUGUAGAUGAAUAUGUAUUAUCUGUAUAUCAGUUGUAUUAUAGAAAAAAUUGUUACUACUGUUCUGGUAAGAGUCUAAUUUGGUAAUUUUUCAUUUGGUAGAAUAAAAACAAAUUCAGUUUAAUUUACGGUUCCAUGAAAAGUAUGUAGCAUUUGUAUUUGCAAAUUCUUCACUUUUUUUUUUACUUCUUAAUCGUAUUAUUGGAGAUAGUGAAAAAUCCCUGUUGUUUCUGGUGAAGAAGCUAAGACAUAAGUAAAUUUAGGAGCUUUUAAAGCAUAGCAGUUUUUAAAGUUAGUAGAAAGUUAGUAUUCAGAGUAUUCCAUGUGCUAUUAUGUUGAGCCAUGCAUCUCUACUCCUUAUUAAAUAUUCAAACAACAAACCUAUUAGUUGGCAAACUAAAUGUUAAAGGGAUAUUAUUCUGUUCUUCAAGACUUUCAUUGGCUUAUGUCUCCUUUGGAUGUGUUCUCUUAAGAUUGAUUCACUUAGCCUUAAAUUAAUUCAAAGAUUGUAUGCAAAAAAAUUGUCUUUGCUGGCAUUGGACUAAUUAAAGCUAAGUGGUGGUGGCCCAGCUAUCCUUUAGGACAUUUGUGGGUGGAGUAUCUUUUUUAGUAAUCAGCUGCCUUCCCUUCCUGCCUCAUUUGAUGAAAUGGAAAAUUUCUCUACAAUUUCUCAUAGUAUCAGUAACCAUUGUAGUAAUACUGUGCUUCUCUGAACCAUCCAAGAAACUUAACCGUCAUUCUUAAUAUUAGUUUCUAUGAAAAAUGAUUCCAAGUUUCAAAGAAUAAAUUGAAAAGCACUAGGAUUAUAAGAACAGUUUUCUGGGUUUUUUUUAGAAAGAUACAUUAGAGAAACAUUUAAAAUAUUUGUUUUUUCUUGUUUAAAAUACUGCACAUUGUCUCUAAUUAAUCAAUUUAAGAAAGUUAUGAACAGUUUGUUUGGAAUCCAGAAAAUAAUAAAUGAUGAUGACUAGAAAACUCAAAAGCAUCCCUUUAAGAGAGAAUUGUAAAUGUUACUUAGACAAGUAAUAGAAAAGUGUCAUUUAGGAGUAGUAAAUAAUUUACUAUGAAUUUUUCUUUAAAACUAACAAAACUUAAAACUUAGUAUUUUAGUCUAAUAAUUUGGAAAUCUUUAUAGGUGCUUUCACAUCAGUGCCACUUUUAUUAUAGAAAACUAAACAAGGAUAAAUUUAUAUAUGUUGAAAAUAGCAGUAUUGACUCAAACACAAAAUAUCCUGUUUUCUAUCCUUGUGAAAUAAUGUUUAAAUUGUAAACAAAUUUGGAAAAAUGUUUUUCUCUAUCUUUUUUUAUAUUUUUUAUUCUUAUUUUUUUUUAGUGUUUUCAUGUAUACACUCUACCGAUUAUUAGGGGCAUAGACUCAGGGAACCUAGUCACCUAAUAACCGAAUUUGAAAACUCUCAAAUUAUUUUGUAAAUCCUGUUGUGAUUAAACCACUUUAAGUUUCUCCUAAAAAAAAAGUCAAGUUAUGUUUAAAAUAAUCUUUUUUAAAGUUAUGGCUUCUGAAAAGGAUUAUUUCUUGAAAGGAGAUUGUGAACAUUUUAGAAUAUUAUUAAGGCUACCAUCAGCUGCUAAGGGACAUCAAAUCCUGACUCAAGGAAAUAGUAAUUUUUCAAAGUAGGAAUUUUUCUAAAGUAGAGAAAAGAUGUACAUUGUUGUCUGUUACAUAUGCAAUUAGGUAAAAAAAGUCCUAGGACUUAAGAAGCAAUCUCAGGUUUUUCAUAGCGGUGUAGAGAAGUAUAAAUAUUUAUUCAGUUGCUUGUUCUACACAUGUUAACUACAUGAUAUGAGCCAUGUAUGCAGCAAUAAAUAAGACAGGUAGGUAUAUGAUAUCAUAUUUGUCUUUCUCUUUCUGACUUACUUCACUCGGUAUGAGAGACUGUAGUUCCAUUCAUGUUGCUGCAAAUGAAAAGACUUAGAGAAAAGACUUGUGGUUGCCAAGGGGGAGGGGGAGGGAGUAGGAUGGAUUGGGAGCUUGGGGUUAAUAGAUGCAGACUAUUGCCUUGGGAAUGGAUUAGCAAUGAUAUCCUGUUGUGUAGCACUGGGAGCUAUGUCUAGUCACAUGAUGGAGCAUGAUAAUGUGAGAAAAAAGAAUGUAUACGUGUAUGUGUAACUGAGUCACCAUGCUGUACAGUAGAAAAAAA
rnacentral:lncRNA from 1 species